rnacentral:lncRNA from 1 species
ACAUACAUUAUCUCAAAUUACACUACAUCAACUUAUAUUACAUGUCCACUUCUAAAACUACUAAACAUUAACACAAUCUAAGCUAUUACAACAUGUAUAUCUUAACCUUGACUUUACCCUGCAGCCUCUGGACUCUGACUUAAACCUGCAAAACUGGGGUUAGGGGAAAGGGGUGAGCUAAAAAGCCCAGUGAGUAGAAACAGGAAAANN